rnacentral:tRNA from 1 species
GCCCUCGUAGCUCAACGGAUAGAGCGACUGCGUCCUAAGCAAUAGGUUGGGGGUUCAAUUCCCUCCGAGGGCACAA